CACCGGCGGCCCGAGUGGUGAUCGUGAUUAUUGGGUCUAAAGGGUCCGUAGCCGGUUUGGUCAGUCCUCCGGGAAAUCUGAUAGCUCAACUAUUAGGCUUUCGGGGGAUACUGCCAGACUUGGAACCGGGAGAGGUAAGAGGUACUACAGGGGUAGGAGUGAAAUCUUGUAAUCCCUGUGGGACCACCUGUGGCGAAGGCGUCUUACCAGAACGGGUUCGACGGUGAGGGACGAAAGCUGGGGGCACGAACCGG
rnacentral:rRNA from 1 species